rnacentral:rRNA from 1 species
UACGUAGGGGGGCUAGCGUUGUCCGGAUUUAUUGGGCGUAAAGAGCGUGUAGGCGGCCAGGUAGGUCUGGUGUGAAAACUCGAGGCUUAACCUCGAGAUGUCAUCGGAAACCAUCUGGCUAGAGUCCGGAAGAGGAGAGUGGAAUUCCCUGGUGUAGCGGUGAAAUGCGCAGAUAUCAGGAAGAACACCAAUGGCGAAAGCAGCUCUCUGGGACGGUACUGACGCUGAGACGCGAAAGCGUGGGGAGCGAACAGG